GGCUUUGAAGUGUGGACGCCAGUCUGCAUGGAGCCGUCCUUGAAAUACCACCCUUUAAUGGCUGGUGUUCUAACGUAGACCCGUGAACCGGGUUGCGGACAGUGUCUGGUGGGUAGUUUGACUGGGGCGGUCUCCUCCUAAAGCGUAACGGAGGAGCACGAAGGUUGGCUAAUCCUGGUCGGACAUCAGGAGGUUAGUGCAAUGGCAUAAGCCAGCUUGACUGCGAGCGUGACGGCGCGAGCAGGUGCGAAAGCAGGUCAUAGUGAUCCGGUGGUUCUGAAUGGAAGGGCCAUCGCUCAACGGAUAAAAGGUACUCCGGGGAUAACAGGCUGAUACCGCCCAAGAGUUCAUAUCGACGGCGGUGUUUGGCACCUCGAUGUCGGCUCAUCACAUCCUGGGGCUGAAGUAGGUCCCAAGGGUAUGGCUGUUCGCCAUUUAAAGUGGUACGCGAGCUGGGUUUAGAACGUCGUGAGACAGUUCGGUCCCUAUCUGCCGUGGGCGCUGGAGAACUGAGGGGGGCUGCUCCUAGUACGAGAGGACCGGAGUGGACGCAUCACUGGUGUUCGGGUUGUCAUGCCAAUGGCACUGCCCGGUAGCUAAAUGCGGAAGAGAUAAGUGCUGAAAGCAUCUAAGCACGAAACUUGCCCCGAGAUGAGUUCUCCCUGAGACUUUAGUCUCCUGAAGGAACGUUGAAGACGACGACGUUGAUAGGCCGGGUGUGUAAGCGCAGCGAUGCGUUGAGCUAACCGGUACUAAUGAACCGUGAGGCUUAACCUUACAACGCCGAAG
rnacentral:rRNA from 1 species